rnacentral:tRNA from 1 species
GGGGAUGUGGCUUAGUGGUAGAGUGCUUGCCUAGCAUGCAGGAAGCCCUGGGUUCAAAUCCUCAGUACCA